UACGUAGGGGGCAAGCGUUGUCCGGAAUCAUUGGGCGUAAAGAGCGUGUAGGCGGCCCGAUAAGUCCGCCGUGAAAGUCCAGGGCUCAACCCUGGAAUGCCGGUGGAAACUGUCGGGCUGGAGUCCGGAAGAGGCGAGUGGAAUUCCUGGUGUAGCGGUGAAAUGCGCAGAUAUCAGGAAGAACACCCGUGGCGAAAGCGGCUCUCUGGGACGGUACUGACGCUGAGACGCGAAAGCGUGGGGAGCGAACAGG
rnacentral:rRNA from 1 species